GACAGAGGUGCCGAGCGUUAGGCGGAAUCACUGGGCUUAAAGCGUGUGUAGGCGGACUUCUAAGUACCUUGUGAAAUCCCACGGCUCAACCGUGGAACUGCUCGGUAUACUGGUUGUCUUGAGCCACUUAGGGGCAGUCGGAACAGACGGUGGAGCGGUGAAAUGCGUAGAUAUCAUUUGGAACGCCAAUGGUGAAAACAGGUAGCUGGGGCUGUGCUGACACUGAGACACGAAAGCCAGGGGAGCAAACGGG
rnacentral:rRNA from 1 species